UUUAAAAUAACUCUUAGGGACACAAAAGCCAUGCAAGUGUUUAUACGCAGGCUCCCGGUGAAGGCUAAUAUCAGGCAGGCUCCCUGGUGGCACGGCCUGAAAGAUGGCCCAAAUUUAAAGAGAAUCAUAUGUCAUGUGGUCUGGGGUCAGGCACCGCCCUCUGCUCCGUGGACCCCAGGGGAGACGUCACUUUGUAGGCACUACCCUGAGAAAGAGUGAGAAAUGUGUGCAAAGAUACACAGCAAGGCCGUGUGUUGGAGGGUUUAUAUUUGGAGAAAAUCUAAGGUCCAACAUGAGGGAGCGCAAGACGGAAAUUAAAGAAGAAAAAUGUUCCACUGGCUUGGUGGCUACGCGUACAAAAAGAUUUCCCCGAUAAAUAUUGCUCCCAAUCGCUCACUUGUGAAGGCUGCAUGAUGUGAAAUUAAACUCGGGUCGGGGGCUGUGGCUGGUUCUGUCACUGUGGUUUGGGGGAAAUGAAAGUCAUUCAUCUCAGGCCAGUGUGACGGGCCGGCCCCGGCCCCUGCCACCUCCCCACGUGUGCACGCAGACCUGAGGUUUUGCAGCUCAUUGGACGGAUCCCAUCUGUGGCCUUCAUUUCAGGAGCUCGGGGCAUUUUUGAAGAAGGGAGGACCGCC